rnacentral:sRNA from 1 species
UUUUGUCCUUCGUUUCAGCGUUGUCCUUUUUUGGGGGGGAUGGCGAGAUGGAAACAGAAUGAAACACCCACCUCGUCAUUCUUCAACCCAUGUAACCCCACAAUAUCCUCCAUAUUCCCUGUUACCAAACCUUGACCUUGGGCGUGAUCGUAAUCACCUAACCGACGUCCAAGGUCGAGUCGGAAGAGGCCUGUACAUGGAUCAGGGUUGGGUGGUGGGAGAGCAUAGUUGGUGUUGUCCACUAUUUGUUUUUCGUUUUUACUAUCGUCCUUGUCUUCAAUAUCGUUCCGUUCCGCCCCCGCCGGUCUGGGGAACAUCACCGUCUCUCCUUCUGGUAAACAGCCUGACGACGGGGUAUGGAGAAAAGGGAGAGAGAACAUGAGUUCUCCCAUGAAUGCGUCUUCGUUUCGCUGGGUGUUGCGUUCGUAUGCGGGGACUGGGGCUGUGGCGAGGGUUUUUAUCUGCGUUUCGCAAAGCGUCGAGAACGGGUGAGCGCUUGGAAAAUGGCAAGACGGAAAGAUGAAAAAAAAAAAAAAAAAAGACGUACAACAGGCCAACUGAACCCAUACAUCAUCCCUUCGAAAUAAAAAUGAUAGCCUGUCCAGUGACCGAGUGAAGUACCAAAGUAAGAAGGGAUGGUGGGGCGGUUGGCGAGGAGGAUGGGGAGGAGGUUGGGGAGGAUCGGAAGGGUCUGCGUGGGAAGUAGGUUAGCAUGGAAUCGGAGGGAGAGGGAGGGGUGCUUACAUCGUCGUCACAUUUCCUUGAUCAUGCGCCGACUCUUUCCCUCGUCCCAACCCACCUUAUCCACUCCCACGUCUUGCCCUUGUUCAGAUUCUCCCCAUCCUCGAGCCCUUCCAGCCUCACCAAAUCCCCAUACAUCUUAUCUUCCGCAUCCACCAUCUGUUCUUCCGUUUCGUUCCACAGAGGACUUGCUGAUGACGAACCGACAAUCGGCGUCGGUCUGCCGAGGAUAAACUUUAGCUCGACGAGGUGCCUGUACUGCGGGGGGAUGGAGAGGAGUGGGGAUGCGGUGGAACGGAUGAGGGAGCGGCGGGCGCGAGAUUCAGGGGUAGGGGUGGAGAAGAUGUGCAGCAUAAGCAAGGCGGGGCUGGUGAGGAUCGCGUUGGACGUGUCGCUAGGGUCGGGAGCGUACGAUGGGUUUGUCAAGAGGGGCACGUCCCAUUCUUCCAUCGGUCGAGCUGAUCGCAGGCCUGGGAUGAUUCUCGGCGGGCCAGAGGGGCCGCCAGGGUGGGGAACGAGGUGGCCGAUGGCAGGGUGGAGCCAUGGGGGGGUAUAGUGCAAGGCGGUAUUGUAGCGGUGAUGUGGAGGGAUGGAGGAGCAGUAGUGGAGGACGAGGUAGAGGAGGUAGGUGGAGGCGGCCACAAAGGGGAGGAGGAAGAGGAAGCGCCGGCGGGGUGGAG